GACGAACGCUGGCGGCGUGCUUAACACAUGCAAGUCGAACGGAAAGGCCCUGCUUUUGUGGGGUGCUCGAGUGGCGAACGGGUGAGUAACACGUGAGUAACCUGCCCUUGACUUUGGGAUAACUUCAGGAAACUGGGGCUAAUACCGGAUAGGAGCUCCUGCUGCAUGGUGGGGGUUGGAAAGUUUCGGCGGUUGGGGAUGGACUCGCGGCGUAUCAGCUUGUUGGUGGGGUAGUGGCUUACCAAGGCUUUGACGGGUAGCCGGCCUGAGAGGGUGAACGGCCACAUUGGGACUGAGAUACGGCCCAGACCCCUACGGGAGGCAGCAGUGGGGAAUAUUGCACAAUGGGCGGAAGCCUGAUGCAGCAACGCCGCGUGCGGGAUGACGGCCUUCGGGUUGUAAACCGCUUUCGCCUGUGACGAAGCGUGAGUGACGGUAAUGGGUAAAGAAGCACCGGCUAACUACGUG
rnacentral:rRNA from 1 species